GAUUAGCUAGUUGGUGAGAUAACAGCCCACCAAGGCGACGAUCAGUAGCCGACCUGAGAGGGUGACCGGCCACAUUGGGACUGAGACACGGCCCAAACUCCUACGGGAGGCAGCAGUGGGGAAUAUUGCACAAUGGGCGAAAGCCUGAUGCAGCAACGCCGCGUGAAGGAAGAAGGGUUUCGGCUCGUAAACUUCUAUCAACAGGGACGAAAGAAAUGACGGUACCUGAAUAAGAAGCCCCGGCUAACUACGUGCCAGCAGCCGCGGUAAUACGUAGGGGGCAAGCGUUAUCCGGAAUUACUGGGUGUAAAGGGUGAGUAGGCGGCAUGGUAAGCCAGAUGUGAAAGCCUUGGGCUUAACCCGAGGAUUGCAUUUGGAACUAUCAAGCUAGAGUACAGGAGAGGAAAGCGGAAUUCCUAGUGUAGCGGUGAAAUGCGUAGAUAUUAGGAAGAACACCAGUGGCGAAGGCGGCUUUCUGGACUGAAACUGACGCUGAGGCACGAAAGCGUGGGGAGCGAACAGGAUUAGAUACCCUGGUAGUCCACGCCGUAAACGAUGAGUGCUAGGUGUCGGGGAGGAAUCCCCG
rnacentral:rRNA from 1 species